AGGGUUUGAUCAUGGCUCAGAACGUACGCUGGCGGCAUGCCUAACACAUGCAAGUCGAACGCAGUAGCAAUACUGAGUGGCAGACGGGUGCGUAACAUGUGGGAAUCUGCCUUGUGGUUCAGGACAACAUUGGGAAACUGAUGCUAAUACUGGAUAAGCCCUUACGGGGAAAGUUUUAACGCCAUAAGAUGAGCCCGCACUUGAUUAGCUUGUUGGUGAGGUAAAAGCUCACCAAGGCAAUGAUCAAUAGCUGAUCUGAGAGGAUGAUCAGCCACACUGGGACUGAGACACGGCCCAGACUCCUACGGGAGGCAGCAGUGGGGAAUUUUGCACAAUGGAGGAAACUCUGAUGCAGCGAUGCCGCGUGAGUGAAGAAGGCCUUUGGGUUGUAAAGCUCUUUUGUGGGGGAAGAUAAUGACGGUACCCCAAGAAUAAGAUCCGGCUAACUUCGUGCCAGCAGCCGCGGUAAUACGAAGGGAUCUAGCGUAGUUCGGAAUUACUGGGCGUAAAGCGCGCGUAGGCGGUUUAGAAAGUUAAUUGUGAAAUCCCAAAGCUUAACUUUGGAACAGCAAUUAAAACUUCUAAACUAGAGUUUGAUAGAGGGAAGCGGAAUACAUAGUGUAGAGGUGAAAUUCGUAGAUAUUAUGUAGAACACCAGUUGCGAAGGCGGCUUCCUGGGUCAACACUGACGCUGAGGUGCGAAAGUAUGGGUAGCAAAGAGGAUUAGAUACCCUCGUAGUCCAUACCUUAAACGAUGAUUGCUAGAUGUUGGAAAUCUUUUUCAGUAUCGCAGCUAACGCGAUAAGCAGACCGCCUGGGGAGUACGGCCGCAAGGUUAAAACUCAAAUGAAUUGACGGGGGCCCGCACAAGCGGUGGAGCAUGUGGUUUAAUUCGAUGCAACGCGAAGAACCUUACCAGGUCUUGACAUCCAGCGAACUGCUCAGAGAUGGGCGGGUGCCUUCGGGAGCGCUGAGACAGGUGCUGCAUGGCUGUCGUCAGCUCGUGUCGUGAGAUGUUGGGUUAAGUCCCGUAACGAGCGCAACCCUUGUCCUUAGUUGCCAUCAUUAAGUUGGGGACUCAUUGGAGACCGCCGGGGUCAACUCGGAGGAAGGUGGGGAUGACGUCAAGUCCUCAUGCCCCUUAUGUCCAGGGCUGCAAACACGCUACAAUGGCCGAUACAAAGGGCUGCGAGCUCGCAAGAGUGAGCCAAUCCCAUAAAGUCGGUCUCAGUUCGGAUUGAAGUCUGCAACUCGACUUCAUGAAGCUGGAGUUGCUAGUAAUCCCGGAUCAGCACGCCGGGGUGAAUACGUUCCCGGGCCUUGUACACACCGCCCGUCACACCACGAAAGUCGGCAACACCCGAAGCCGGGGGCCCAACCGCAAGGAGGGACCCGUCGAAGGUGGGGUCGGUGAUUGGGGUGAAGUCGUAACAAGGUAGCCGUA
rnacentral:rRNA from 1 species